rnacentral:rRNA from 1 species
CCUACGGGAGGCAGCAGUGGGGAAUAUUGGGCAAUGGGCGCAAGCCUGACCCAGCAACGCCGCGUGAAGGAAGAAGGCUUUCGGGUUGUAAACUUCUUUUCUCAGGGACGAAGCAAGUGACGGUACCUGAGGAAUAAGCCACGGCUAACUACGUGCCAGCAGCCGCGGUAAUAAGUAGGUGGCAAGCGUUAUCCGGAUUGACUGGGGGUAAAGGGCGUGUAGGCGGGGAUGCAAGUAAGAUGUGAAAACCACGGGCUCAACCUGUGGCCUGCUUUUGAAACUGUGUUUCGUGAGUACGAGAGAGGCAGACGGAAUUCCUAGUGUAGCGGUGAAAUGCGUAGAUAUUAGGAAGAACACCAGAGGCGAAGGCGGUCUGCUGGACAGAAACUGACGCUGAGGCGCGAAAGCGUGGGGAGCAAACAGGAUUAGAUACCCGAGUAGUC